AUGCAUAUACAAAUCUACUGGUUGGGGACUUUUCUAAUGUCUCCAUUUGUUUCCCUCCAAACCAAUUUUGUAAACAAACAAACAAACAAAAUGUUUUCAUGGAAUUUAUUUACUAAUUUUACUCGUAAAAACAAAUAAUUAACACCAAUCAAUGAGUAUCUGGAUGAUUUAAAAAGGUGGACAACAUUGUUAAGAGCCAGAAUUAGCAAAAUGUUGACCUCUAAAAUAUAA
rnacentral:lncRNA from 1 species